GUUCCGGGGCGGGGCCGUCUAGCCCGAAGUUCCGGGACUGGGGCCUCAGACUGUGAAUUGGUGAGUGUCCAGGUGACUUGCUCCAGCUUGGCUGAUGUCAGUACACUGAAGUGCUCUAAACUGAGGAACACGGAACAGAUCAGAGGAAAGGUAAUUGCACAGCAUAUCUGGAGCAGAGGGCGCUGCUAUCUGUCAAGGUCUGAAUGCAAAAAUGGUUGGACAGAGGCUGUGGAUAGAGAUUCUGGGUAAGUGAUAGUUCAGGGGCUCUCUACACAGAGAAAAAUCUAUGAAGGGAGACCAUAAAGAGAGAGAAGAUAUCUUAGUGACUAUCAACACUGCUACUUGGGAAAGCGCAAGAAAGAAGGAUGGGGAUAGAGAGUUAGGAGAAGGAAGAGCACCGCUGGGACAAAUUCCCCCAAAGAAGAGAUUGUCAGUGAUGUUAAAUCCUACUGUGAUCUCAAAGGAAAAGAAAUCACAAAAUUUAAUUGAUGUGUCACUUUAAUGAGAGAUAUAAAGGAAAAAUUUUAAAAACUGAGAUUAUAUAUUGUGUUCCUAAAGGAGAGAUCAAGUGUUGUGAAGUUAUUUAUUUAUGCCAACCAAAAUCCCAUUUGAAUAAAUUUUGGGAGAGAAGAGGCAGAGAGUAAUGUCUUGAUAAAAUAAUUCUAAGAUUCACAAUAAGUAAAUGAGAAUAAUAUUUUUUAAAAAGACGAGACUUGAGGUGAAGCUUCUCUGUUUAGAUAUUAGAAUAUUAUAAGUGUAUGGUAAUUCAAUUUUUGUUUGAUGUUUACUUAUUUUCGAGAAGAGAGAGAGCAUGAGCGGGGUAGGAGAGAGAAAGACGGAGACACAGAAUCUGAAACAGGAUCCAGGCUCUGAGCUGUCAGGACAGAGCCCAACACGGGGCCUGAAGUCACAGACUAUGCGAUCAUGACCUGAGCCAAAGUUGGACGCUUAACCGACUGAGCCACCCACGUGCCUCAAGGGUAUGGUAAUUAAAAUGUACAAAUCAAAAGAAAAAACAAGGGUAAAUGAAACAAAUUCUAGAAUAUAUAAAAACAAAAUAUUACACAGGAAGUAUCAUGAAUAAAAAAGGGGCAUUAUGCAACACUUAUUUCAGUAAAAUUAAUUUACAGAGAAAAAUAAGAUUAGAGGCUCACAUCUUACACUAAAAUUAAUUCCAGAAUUAAAUAUGAAACAAAAUGUAAAAAAAAAAGAAAGAAAAAAUAACUGAUUUGGGAUUGUACAAACAACUCUCCAAAUUUAAAAUCAAUGAGAGUGAGUUCUAAAAACAAGAACAAUAGAUGUAAUAUAUAAAACCCGAAAACUAUAGGGGCGCCUGGCUGGCUCAGUCAGUUAAGCACCUGACUCUUGGUUUCGGCUCAGGUCUUAAUCUCUUGAUUUCAUGGGUUCAAACCCCGCAUCAGGCUCUGUGCUAACAGUGCAAAGCCUGCUUGGGAUUCUCUUUCUCUCCCUUGCUCUCUGCCCCUCCCCCACUCACGCUGUCUCCGUCUCUCUCAAAAUAAAUAAAUAAACUUAAAAGAACUAUAUAUCUAAAAAAAUAGCCAAAAUAGCAAAUUGGAUGUGAACGAGACAGAAAGUUAAUUUUAAGAUGAUUACUUAGAAGAAUUCAUAUGAUUUCUGCAUCUGGUGAAGAUGGAGUAACUAGAAUCGAAUUUAUCCUCCCGUUUGAAACAACUGAACAAUAGACAAAAAUACAUGGAGCGGUGGUUUGCGAGAACUAGAUAUCAGAUCAUGAAAGGUAAUGAUCACUGAGAAGUGAGAAUUCUUCCCAAACCUAGGUGAGCCCCAUAAUUUACCCCAGCAUACUUCUUCAAGAAAGUUCCCAGACCAUGGCAUGGGGAGGGGAAAUUUAAACUCACCCCGGAAAACUUUCCAAGCUGAAAAGAUGUAGCUGAGAGUCAGGGAAGUCAAGGCAACUGGAAUUGGCAGGGCAGAGUACCAAAGAGAAGAGAGAGAACUCAGGAGAUUUGCAAAGAGGCUCCUGCAAGAAUUUAGGUGACUACCCAUCAAUGCUUGCAUGUGAGAAAAUACCCAAGACCAGGGAAAGACCCACCCAAAAGAAUUAGAGGUGAUAGUUACCUAUGCACAUAGAGGACUAGGAAUGAUGCUUAUUCCCACCAGCCAGACUAGAAAAACCUCACUGUUCACAGAGCAUUUGCUAUAGCACAUGUCAGAAACUGUAACAGGAUAUGAGAUUUUAUUUUAUUUGCAAGCCAACAAGCAGCCAUGAAGGCUGGUGGAAGACACAAGACUCCUAAGCAUGAGAGGAGGAGUGUAUUGAUUAUUUAGAGAAAUCACAGUAGCAAGAGUAUCUGCUGUUUUUCUAACAAUUCUCUGAGUCCCAGUUCCCCCAGGGUGACUCAAAGAAGGCUAGAUGAGCCUUGCACAUGUGGUGGGUUGCCUUAUAGGGGAGAAACUUGAGCUAUUUCCGGUAACAUCGAAAAGUAUGAAACACUUAGGGAUAAAAGAUGUGAAAGACCUACCUGUGCACUGAAGACUACUGAGCAUUGCCGAACAAAUUUAAGGAAGACCCUCCAAAUUGAAGACGUACACCAUGUUCACAGGACUGGUGUUUUUAAAAGACGAGGAAGAGACACCAGGGAUGCAUGCACACGGAGAAAAGACCAUGUGAGGACGCAUAAGAAGGUGGCCAUUGAUAAGUCAAAGAGAGACGCCUCAGGAGAAACCACCGUGCUGGCACCUUGCAGCCUCCAGAACUGUGAGAAAAUAAAGAAACAUCCCUGUAAACAAGAAAGGGACAGAUUACAUCAUCUGGUUGGUGUUAAACAACAGAACAGCUGGCAGCCAUUCUUGAUGUCGACCAGGAUUCACGCUCCUAGAUGUUGCAUGACUUGGAAUACAUUUGAGCUGCCUCUCCUGGAGUGGACGCCAUUUGGAUCGAUGCUAACCCACAGCUUCAGGAGUUGGGCUGCUGGCCCUUCUUUGUUAGGAGGCAGGAUUUGAAGCCAAUAUUCACAAGAUGAAGUUUGGAUGAAGAGCAACACAAGAGGGUAUAAAACACUGUCACAUUUUUUCAUGCCAGAAAAUAUUUCUUUCUCGUAUUAUUUCUUUAAAUAGCUCUUCACAAUAAGCAACCUCGGGGAAUAACAAGUGCAAAAAAGAAGAACCAGACCAAGCACAGGUAUUUAAUAUCUAUCCACCCACCUACCCACCCGUCUGUCCCUUUCCUCUCAUUACAUUUAAUUAUAUUUUUAUGAGUAUUACCAAAUUAAAAAAAUUAUUUAUUAUGCCCCCAGUAGAUGUGCCCAUAGGCAAUUUUGACCUAUUUUGCUCCAUUUCAGCUCCUAACGGAAAUUCAGCGCAUGAUUUAUUAAUAAGACCCUGUUUGCUCUGAGUCGUCGUUUUAUCUCCCAAAGAGUACGUAGUAGGAACAGUUGAGCUUGCAAGGAGAGGGUGUUCCUGUGCCUUUCCUGGAGUACGGCGACUGGCUACUGUUGAGAAUCUUCGUGUGCGGUUACCUAUGCAAUGUGUGCCUGAAGUCACUGCCCGAUCCUGCCACAUAGGGAAGUGUGAGGAAAUGUCAGCCCAUGGCUGAGUCUCUGCGUCACCACGGCCCCGGAUAGCAGUCUCCCCAAGCUUUGCUCAUUUUUCAAAAUGCCCAAGGAGAGCGAGGAGAGAAAACAAGAAUCAGGGAAAAGGAUGCCUGGAAUAAUCUAACUUUCAGUUACGUCAUAUUACAACCCAUAAUAAUAAAAGUGUAAAGGACAAUGCAAUUUCUCCAGGAGAUUAAUAGGCAUUUGAGGGCCUUUUAAGAAAAGAAUAAUGUUUGAUCUAAUGCCCCCAAACAGUAGGAGAUACUGUAACUCAGUGUUGGGCCAAAUGCUUCAUCUGAGCUCUGCACACUUCACGGUGAGUCUCUGACUUUUACAUUAAUUUCCACGAAUGGCCACGCAGAUCCCGUGUUUUAAAUCCUCGUGCAGACCCGGAUGAAAGCGAACACUAGCUCCUAGAGUCACCUAGUCCUUCUCUGUGGAAUCAUUUCUAAUUGAAUGUUAAGAUCAAAGUUUAAGUUUAUAAGAAAGAAAAACAAGUGCAGAUAAAUAGUUAUUAUCUGACACCCUUAUGAAAAUUCAUGACCUGCACUUUUAUCAGAGACCUUAUAAGAAUUCUAAUUGUGAAGUAUGCGGAGCCAUUAACUGGCGAGUACGCUUCAGUCUCUUGAUAAGAAGUGAGUUAAAUAAUUGUCCUGUUUAACUUGUGCUUGUUAACCUUUAAGGUCAACUAGUUUGAACAUACGUUUAAUGAAAUCCUGGAGCCAGAAUUUAUGAUACUGCUGCCGAAUGCUAAAUUGGACAAUUUACAUAAGCAGGACAUUAACCUUCUGAGCACUAAAUAGCAUUUUAGCACUUAGCCGCUGGGGACAAUAAGGGACAUGUUCUAUAUAUUUGUGAUUAGCUUGCCUGGAAACUCUCAUGAUGACCAAUUGGCCUACCAAGUUUAGCAGCAUAAUUAAAUGAAUGGACUCAGCCUAAGUAAAUUAUCAGUGCUGUGUACAGUAUAUCAUUAUAGUCCAAAGGAAAAAAAAAGAUAUGAAUAAUUUAAUAAUACAUUACUAAUUUAUCAAUGCUAAGUGACUUUGAGGAGGCUCUUUGCAGUUCAUUGUUUUAAAUUUGAUAUUUGAUUUAUUGCUUGCGUGAUUAAAAUUGAGCCUGUUUCAUUUCUUACUAGAAGUAUAUAGAAGCAGUAGAUUUUAUUUUAUUUCAUUUCAUCUCAUUUCAUUUUAUUGAGGUGAGACUGGUGGUGUUUCCUGCUUUGGUGAUAUUACAAAAUACCUCCUACUGUGCACUGAUUAGCAGCCAUAUUGCUUGCCACUAGAGAAACAAUAGUUUCAGAAUAUUUUCCAAAGGACGCAAAUGAUUACAUGGCCCUCUUCUUAUUGGCCAGUGUAAUCUCAGCUAUGAAAGCUUUUCUGUAAAGCAUGAGCGGCGAAGAGCAGGAGAGAGAAAGAAUUUCAAGCAGGCUCCACGCUCAGCGCAGAGCCCAACGGGGGGCUCAAUACCUCGACCCUGAGAUCAUGACCUGACCCAAAAUCAAGAGUCAGACUCUCAACUGACUAAGGCACCUGGGCACCCCUGUCCUAUUAUUUUUCUUGGUAAACCAAACAGACAAACUGCAUACACAUAGUCAUUUAGUCAUUCGUUCAUUCGUUCAUUCGUUUACAGAGUGGUCACGCAUGUUCCCUGUUCCAAACCUUUAUCCCGUCGUGCCCGGACAAUUAUAACCAUCUUUUGCUUGUUUUCUCACCUUCUCUUUCUCCAUCUUGUGUGUUCACUUCUUCUUUUCCAAUCCCAUUGUCCUUCAUCUGCCCUCAGGAUCUUCCAGGUGUGUUGAAUUACAAGUGAGAGCAGCCACUCUGCACAUGGGUGGGAAGUGUUGGAAGAAAGUACAAUUAUAAGGUGGGUGGAAAGGAGAAUCUGAGACUUUCUCUAUUUGAGGUGUCCAUGGGACAAAUGUGUGGAAAUUAUUGUCGGUGAAGCUCUAGAUCUGAGAAGAGAAAUUUUAUUUAAUGAAAUAAGGACACACAGAUAGUUCAAAGUCAAGAUGCUGAUUUGAUCACUAAAGAGAUAAAGUAAAAGAAAAUGAGAACUGGGCACAGAGUGGGUGACAAAUAAAUAUUUGCUGUUUGUGGUGUCUUACCUGGGAAAUGUACUACCAGUAUGUCUCCUUUGAUGGUCAUGACCUGUUCCUUGUAGGGUGUGAAACUCUUUCAUUCCUGGUAUUUAUUAUACAUUUGAACUCUCCACUUCAAAAGUCAUUUUGAAGAGAGGUAUUCAUAGAAACUUGCUCUCGGAUAACCAAAUAGCAGUACAAUGGACAAACACCUUCCAAAAGAAAUACUUAAAAUAGACUUUAACCCUUACUCACCUUGAGGUUAAGAAAAGAAGCUUGCUUUUUGUAAAAAGAAUAUUUAAUAUGAAUCAGAAUUAGAGAAGUAAGGCUAGAAGGAAUUUCAGAGCAUCGUAGCUGAAGCACAUAUUUGCUAGGAGAGUAAACUGAGGCAGAGAAUGACUAAGAAGUUAACCCAAGGCUUCCUGCCUUAAUUGGCAGAAAUCUCAGCCCCUGUUAUCUGAAUGACAAAUGUAGAGGAAGAAUCUUUUCUAGAAAUUCUGAUAAUGCUAGGAGUGCUCCCUGGACCCAAAGCAUCAGAAUAAAAACCCAUUUUACAAAUUAAAAUGUUAAAAUUUCAAUUAAAUUUCUAUUUAGUUGAAAAAGGUAAAACCUAACUGCUUUACUUGGGUUUCAUUGUUUCUUCAACUGUUGUUGGUUGUUUUGUUUUGUUUUGUUUUGUUUUAAAGAAGGGGAUGUGGUUUGGAGUGGAUAAUACUGGGCCACUUUCAGCUCCAAAAACAUGGCAUUCUAUAAUUUUUGAAUCAUAAUAUAUUUGUAGAAGGAAUAAGGGAAAUGCCAGCAAAUUAAAUACUAAUACUAAUACUAAUAUUUCGUAAUUAUAAGAAAUUCAAAAUUCUUGGUCAACACAAUAAGUUGUAAAGUGAGGCUUUAUUCUGUUUUGUCAAAUCAUACCAAAUAACUGUUUUUUAAAUUGCCGUUCAUUCUGAUAAUUUGUAUACACAAGUCUUUUAAAAAUUGGAUUAUAAUAGAUACGGGUGAUUUCUACAGAUUAAAAAGCCAUAUUAUAACAUCCACAAGUAAACUUCAGACUUUCUUUUAUUUUAGAAGAGCAGGUAAAAAGUAAUCAUUCCCUCUUUCUUUAUACUGUAUGCUUUUUUUUUUCUCCAGAUAAUGAAUAUUUUAAGUGUGAAAACCCAAACUUCCCAAAUACCUAUUCUUCUUUUAAAAAGAAUUGAUAUUACCUUCUUCCUCACCACCACCCCCCACCCACACACAUAAAUUGGGGGCGGUGGGGAGUAGGGGGCUGAAGUUUAGAAAUUGAAGAAAUGAUCAUCUCUAAUAUUCUAUUCCAUUCUGCAGAUGAAUCAUUGCAACCAAUAUCAGUGAAACAUGUUUUAUUCGUAGUCAGAAUUCAAGAAAAUGCCAGUUAUUCAUUCAUCUGACAUUGGUUCAUUUAUUUACUUAUUCAUUCAUUCAACAGAAAUUUUUGACCCUUGGUUUCUGUGCUAGGUAAUCAGGUAAAAAUGUGUAUAAUGUAAAACCAAACCAUUGCCUUUGGUGACCAUAGGGAAGAAACUCUUCUCUAUCAGACAGCCAGGACUUUUCAAAGGCAAUUUGGAGCAUGAUAUGAGGAAGCAGUCCACAAAAGGAAAAAGAGAUAACACAGUUCUUCCAUCAUUUCCCAUGUUACUCCAUUUGUAAAAUCACUGAGAAUCCCUAAAUCUUUUGCCAGAUUCACAAGUAUGCAAACCGAUUCACAAUUGUAAGAUUAGACGAAGCUUACUAUUCAGUAGGAACACAAAACAAUGUUUUUAUAAAUUACAAAGAUUUAUUUGAAUUCCUCCAUUUUCCCCCAUAUAACACAUACAAAUCACCCUUUCUUCUGAAAAUUGGCCAAUAAUCAAAGUCACUCAAAGGUUUUGAUGCCUUUAUUUGCCAUCCAGCCAUUGUCCUGAGGCUGUAACAGAAUAGAACAGUGUAGAAUAGGAGCAGAAUCCGUGGGGCAGAGCAACCUUAAGAGAAAAUCUUGACCCACUGUCCUUCACAUACUCAAUGUGGUUGUAUAGUAAUCUAUAAUUCUAGAGUUAUAUCAUAAGGAUGCUUCUGGAAUGAAUGUUAAACCUUUAGAAAAUUCAGAGUACCAACUCCUUAAAGGUGGAGAUAAUAUAAUAUAGUAUAGUAUAAAAUAGUAUAGUAUCGUAUCUUCAUAUAGUGAAGAGAAUAUAGAUAAUAUAGCAGAAGAAAGAUUGUGGUUAAAAGACCCAGGCGUAAAUCCUUCUAUAAAUCUUAGUCUUCCCAUUUUUAAAAUAGGCAUAAUAAUGCCUGCCAUGCAGGAUUGUUACAAGAAUAAAUAGGUAACCAAUAAAUUGUUAUUUAUACCGGUAGUUCUAAACUGGAGAUGAUUUUGUGUCCCUUACUCACCCCCUUCCACCAAGGGGCAUUUGGCAAAGGCUAGUGACAUUUUUGGUUUACACAACUAGAGAAGAGGUCAAGAUGCUGCUAGACAACCUAUAAUGCAUAAAACAUUCCUCACAACAAAGAAUUAUCUGGCCUAAGUGUCAACAGUAUGGAGGGUAGAAAACUUGAAUAUGUGCAGAGCACAUAGCAGGUGGACAGGAGGUGAUGGUUAUUACUAUUACCUGCAAUGUUUCAAAACUAGAUCUAAUGUAAAAACAUUGUGUGUGUAGAGUGAAUAGACUAAAUAUUUCUCUAGCCUUUAUAAUGAAUUAACUCCAAGAUUUCCUUGGAGAUGUACAUAAUCAAUUACAUACUUAAAAACUAUUCUCAAUAGCUCCAGUGACAUUCAAAAUGGAUCUAGGCUGAAACAGACUUCUGUGCAUGCAUAAAGGAAUUUUCCUGUCAAUAUUAUUGUAUGUCAAACAGAAAAACCCUUGAUAUGCAAGACAACUAGAGCAAGAAAGGCGUAGUCUGAAAAUAAAAUUGAAAAUAGUUUUCUAACCUUCAUUUCCCAAUAUGUUCUGUUUUGGAGCUCUUAUGGUUAUCUGGAUAUUCUAUUCCCCUCUUUCUUCCUUAUGUUACCAUGAACUGAGAUCCUCACAAACUUUGGGUCUUGUCCUUCACACCUGUCUUCCCAGGACACUUUGGGGUCUGUGGGGCAUUGCAUGCUAUCAACAAAAUACAUUCUAAAGCCUGUGGACUCCUGAAAGUCUUCAAUUUUUAUUUCUGCGCAUUCCUAUAAACAUUCCUUUGUCUUCUCUAUUAUGGAAUUGUCCCAUGGUGUUCCUUUGUAGGAAUUUUCUUCCAUGAUAACAUUGAAAAAUCACACAGUGCUUGGAAUGCAUUACACCUGGAAUAUUUUUUUUGACAUACCAUUCAAAAACUCUUUAAAAGCUCAAUCUAUUAAAUCAGAUUCUGACAUUAGUCUACACUAAAUUUUAUCUAGUUUCUUGCUCAUCAUUUUAAUGGUGUAUUUUAGAUCUGACAUCCUCAUGUAAAACCUUUAUUAUUUUGCCCUGUGACAAUUCAGAAAAUCUUCUCUCUUAUAACUUCUUUCCCAACUUGCCCCAAUUGUCCACAAGACAGUUCAGUUCAUCAUUUCUGCCUCACUAUAACCACUGUGCUUUCUGCAUAUUACGAAACUGCUCAUGUACAUUCUUUCAUAAUCAAUGUCGAAUAUUUAUUUACACUAGACUGAAGACAGUGGUUGUUUUAAUAAUCUUUGUAUUUCUACAGCUUAGUGCAAUGCAGACAUACCAUAAACCCCCCAGUUAAUGUUGAUUCAAUGGAUAAAGAUUGACACACAUCAAACCAGAUUAUGCCAUAGGUAUUGCAGAUUUCCAAAAAUCUGCAUUCUUUUUCUUAUCAAUGCUGCUUUUCUUAUCAAUGCUGCUUAUCAGUUUUCUUAUCAAUGCUGCUUUGGUUCUUUCUGUUUAAUGUUAGAAGCAUCAUGAACAUGUCAUAGGUGAAAUAUAUCUUUAAAUAACACCAGAACUUAGAGUGGAUCUAAGUUUUAGAGCCAUGGGGAGGAUUCUGAGAAUAAGUAUUCUUAAGAGCUUGUGUUUGUCUUGAACCCCUUAAAGUUCAUGAAUAAGAUAGAACUUUAUAUCCUUGCUAAGUGUGAAAGAAGGGAGAAGAAAUGAAGUUAGGCAAAAUCUUAAUUAUAAAUAAAGGAAGCCCCCACACUGGUGGCAUUUCAUUUACUUCAUAGUUGUAUGUGAAAUGGCACUGGACUAAAACUUCUUUGCCAAAUAUUUAAUUUUAUAACAUACUGUCCAAAUGAAGGAUUUUGGCAUUCCAAUCUGACUUUCAAAUAAGUUAUUAAUUAAAGCUGAGAAAAAAUUUCAGACUUGCCUUCAAUUCAAUAAAUAUUUGUUGAAUAUUUAUUAUGUAUUAGACACUAUUCUAGGUACUUGGGGCAUAGCAGUGACCAAAACUUCUGUUCUUAAAACUUACACUAAAUCUAUAUUCAUUUGCAGCUGGAGGAAUAAGAACCAAGUAACAGUUUGCUUCCUAAAUAAGUUAAUAGUUUAAUAUACUGUUUGCAUUUUUCUGAUAUGUUUAUAUGAUUAUCUGGAUUUCAUAAGAAAGAAAGAAUGCAUGAGUUGCUUUUGUAUUCAUUCCAGGUAGCUGAGACUGAAUAGUUUGAAAGCUGUUUCCUAGGAAGCUUCAGUGAUGGUUUGGUGAAUUCCCAGUUAGGACGAUUUUCUACUGUGCUUUGUAAUUUGCUGUUUGACUUUCCUAGAAUCACUGUUCGUUGUCUUCUAGAAAUAUAAUAACAAACAGUUUUAUCUAGCUACCCAUUUAGGUGAUAUGUUGAAGUUUUAACCUUUUAUUUUAGGAUAAACAAACACAGAGAGUUUGUUCAAGGAUGGGGAGAAAUAAGGAGAAAAAAACUUACUUCUGGUGUUAGUGUAAAUCCAGUUGUCUGUACAUUAUAGGGAAUUAGUCGCUUUUUAGAAAGAGCUUUUAAUUGCCUAAUCUAAGUAAUGUGGGCAAUGGCAUACGUGUUUUAUUUUAGGGUCUAUCUAGCCCACUCAGAAAAUGUAAUGGACCUAAUUUUCAUUUAGUAUAGGUCUGUGCAGUUCCUAAAACAUCUAAAUGGCUAUUAAUUUAAUCAGGUAAUUUAACUAUAGCUCUAGAAAAGGCCACCAGCUAGUUGUCACGCAAUGAUUAUGAGGAUGACAUUUCUAUCCCAUGAUGCCAGAGGCAGACUUUGAUACAUCAUUUUCUUUUUGAAGGUUAAACUCAGAUAACCUGCCUUUGGCAUUUAAUUAGCUACAUAUUAAACACUCUUUUAAUAAUAAAAUGAUUAAAAAUUUUAUUGCUUCUCAAAUGAGGCCCUUUUAGAUAGAUUUAAUGACUUGGUUCGAGCUCUGUAGUUUGUGAACCAAACCUUACUUAGGCCAGGGUGUAGUAAUGAUAUGCUUUACAGCUUGCAAAAUCUGUAUUUUAUUCAAAUGAUGGCCAUAAUCAUUUUGGAUAAAACUUAUAAUGCUUUCUUCUGUAUUUUUAAGUCUAACUGUUAAAUGUCAUUGGAAACUAACCAGAAACCCAUUGAUUCAAAAUUUCCAGAAAUUGUCAAGUUCAAAAUUCAUAAAGAGACCAUGAAGUCUGCUUAAUGUGCUGAAUCUUAUAUACUAAUUGUUUACCCUUUGAAAAAUCAUUUGUCGUCAUUGAAUGCCUGCAAGAAAAAAAAAAACUAUUAUAGAAAUGACAGAGAAGUGUGAGUGGCCUACAAAUGCCCAUCCAUAUUUUCAGCUAAUAUUAGCUGUUUAGUGAAAAUGGUCAUCAAGAGACCAUUCGCUGUUCAUCCUCAGCAUGACUUGGUGGGGGUAAGGGGCAGUUACAAUGUCUGUGAAAUAGGUGAAAGAGACAGAAUGCUGUCACACAAGAACAUGGAUAACUAGAGUCUGAAUAAAGGUGACCAUUUUACUUUUAUUCCUUUUAAAAGUUUUUACUUAAUUUUGAAUUUAUGUUAUUUAUUUAU